UACAGAGGGUGCGAGCGUUGUUCGGAAUUAUUGGGCGUAAAGGGCGCGUAGGCGGUGCGGUAAGUCACCUGUGAAAUCUCCUGGCUUAACUGGGAGCCUGCAGGCGAAACUACCGUGCUGGAGUGUGGGAGAGGUGCGUGGAGUUCCCGGUGUAGCGGUGAAAUGCGUAGAUAUCGGGAGGAACACCUGUGGCGAAAGCGGCGAUCUGGGAAGAUACUGACGCUGAGGUGCGAAAGCGUGGGGAGCAAACAGG
rnacentral:rRNA from 1 species